CGAUUGUAUAGUCUAGAUGUAUAGUCUAGAGAGUGCAGAGCUCAGAUUCAGUUCAAAUAAAACUACUUAAGUAAAAUGCUCCUCAAUUUCUCAAUUCUUCCCGGACAAACAUCAUCCAGUUGAAUCGAACCCUAAUCCGAAUCGAAUGACUAAAGAUAAUAGUCGCCCAUAAGAAGAAUGAACUGAAGAUGUUGCUGCUGUCAUAAAUGACUAUGAGCAUCGUCGAUUAGAAGAAUGUACUGAAGAUGACUAUUCGUUUCUUACUUCCGUCGAACUGGGGUCACACUAUAAAUCAGCAUUUCGGCUAUGAUGGCGAUUGCAAACGCUUUCAGCUCUCGUGGAUCGGUGUUAGUGUCGGAAUUCAGGCCAGCGGCUGCGAAAGCCGCCCUGAUGACACGAUGAUGUACCGCUGAAUGCCCAUGGUGCCCUGCAUCUGGAGUAUGAUUUCGUUUCUUCUAAAUUAUUGAGCUAAUUAUUCCAAAGGUAUCUGAGUUAUUGUACAUUAUUAUUUAAGCUUCAUUUCGAGUUGUCAUUGAAUCUAGAUCUAAAUUACAACUCGAUAUGAAGUUUAAAUAAUAUUGUAAAAUAACUCAGAUACCUUUGCAAACAUAAUCUUAGUAAGGUUAUCUAGACGAUUGUAUAGUCUAGAGAGUCCAGAGCUCAGAGUCAGUUCAAAUAAACUAUUUAACUAAAAUGCUCGUCAAUUUCUCAAUUCUUCCCGGACAAGCAUCAUCCAGUUGAAUCGAACCCUAAUCCGAAUCAGCAUCAAUAGAACCCAUAAAUUGGUUUCUCAUGGAGUCUUUUCGUAAAGAGUCGGGAAAAGACACUUAUUUGCAGACAACGAGAAACGGUCAACAGUUAUUUGCGAGCUCUGAUUUUGAUUUGAAUAAAAAUUGAGCUUAAUCAGAAAGAUUGAUUUCAGAGCUAUUCUUCGAGCUGUAAUCUGUUAGAUCAGAUGCUUACCAAGCCUGUGCCGUCGCGCUUUUAAUUCUAGCCCAAGCCUCAUCAGAGCUCUGGGAGAAUGGUCAGCUUUUAAAUCGCGUAUAAGUUUUCUUAAAAUUUUGUGAACUCCAGAUGGUAGAUUUGGCAUUGUUCUUAACAUGAAUUGGCAAGCAUCGAAAAUUGCAUCAAACACACCUGCCCUUUUACAAGAGUAAAUAGCGUCUCCAAUUUUUCUAUGUUGUGUAUUAUGUCCAUUGUAUUAGUUUAGGUUUUAUUUUAGAA